AUUGAACGAUGGAGGCAGGCCUAACACAUGCAAGUCGAACGAGUGGCGGACGGGUGAGUAAUGUCUGGGAAACUGCCCGAUGGAGGGGGAUAACUACUGGAAACGGUAGCUAAUACCGCAUACCAUCGGAUGUGCCCAGAUGGGAUUAGCUUGUAGGUGAGGUAACGGCUCACCUAGGCGACGAUCCCUAGCUGGUAUGAGAGGAUGACCAGCCACACUGGAACUGAGACACGGUCCAGACUCCUACGGGAGGCAGCAGUAGGGAAUAUGGCGCAAUGGGAGCAAGCCUGAUGCAGCCAUGCCGUGGGUAUGAAGAAGGCCGUCGGGUGGUAAAGUACUUUCAGCGGGGAGGCGUUACCCACAGAAGAAGCACCGGCUAACUCCGUGCCAGCCGCCGCGGUAAUAC
rnacentral:rRNA from 1 species